CAAAAUAUCGAUUUCUCACCAAACUGUCACUCGGGCUGUCACUUUUCUUCUUUUCGCAGUGAGGAGGGUCAUAUGAUACACGGGGGAUCAAGUGACUGACUGAUUGUGUGUAAAUUUGCUGGAAAAUCGACCAGAAGACGGCCACACGAUGCGCUACACUCUCGGGUACACCCUCGUCGGAACGCUGACCUCGGUUUCGACGGUCCUGAUCCUGUACCAUGUCCUCACGGGCAAGGGCGAGCGCGUCAGCGUCGGCUGGUUCCUGGAGGAGACGUCCCCGUACAUGUGGGCCACCCUCGGCAUCGCGUUCGCCGUUGCGCUGUCCGUCGUCGGAGCGGCCAUGGGAAUUCACACGACCGGAGUCAGCAUCGUCGGUGGAGGUGUCAAGGCCCCGCGCAUCAAGACCAAGAACUUGAUCUCCGUCAUCUUCUGCGAAGCCGUCGCCAUCUACGGUCUCAUCACGGCCAUCGUCCUAUCCGGAAUGCUGGAGAACUUCUCCUGGUCCACGAUCGUCGCUAACGAGAACAUCCGGAACAACAACUGGUUCUCCGGUUAUGUAAUGUUCGGCGCUGGCCUGGCCGUCGGUCUGGUCAACCUGUUCUGCGGUAUCGCCGUCGGCAUUGUCGGUUCCGGUGCGGCCCUGGCCGAUGCCGCCAACUCGGCACUGUUUGUCAAGAUUCUGAUCGUCGAGAUCUUCGGCUCGGCCAUCGGUCUGUUCGGACUCAUCGUGGGCAUCUACAUGACCUCGAAGGUCAAGAUGGGCGACAAGGAGUAAAUCCCCCCUUCACAAGUACCAAAAUAACCGUAGAGAGAGAGGAUCCAGAACAAAUAGUAUUAAAUUACCGAAACAGAAAUGAGACAAAAGUGGCUCGUGAAGGGCGGCAGCAGCAAGAAGAGUUAUCUUAAAAAAGUAGUGUUACUCUCAAAGGCCAUUCCAGAAGUACGAUCUAUCUACACUCACAACACACAACCCAAACAACAAACAUCCGGAACCAUCUUCAAAAUACUUAGAAGUUGCUAAAGUUUCGAGCAACGUCAACUUAAUAUAUAUUCUGUCUUUAUUCAAACUCCAACGAGGAUAUUUUUUUUUGCUGAAAAAAGAAGUAAACAAACCCCCCAUCUUGAUGUGUAAAUUGGUAAAUAUUGUUUAUUAUUGUUUUUACUUUCAUAUUUUUGCGUUAGUUUAAUGCACAAACGUGUGUUUAAAUUAAAGAUGGUUUAAAUAUUGUAUAAGCUUAAAGAAACAAACAAAAUAAAAAAACACUUAAACGUUAGUGGAAAUCCCGCGCAUUCAGAUGUAACCGAACGCGAAAUCAUGAAAUAAAUGUUCAAUGAACGUCACACAAC
rnacentral:misc_RNA from 1 species